rnacentral:rRNA from 1 species
CCUACGGGAGGCAGCAGUGAGGAAUAUUGGUCAAUGGGCGUAAGCCUGAACCAGCCAAGUCGCGUGAGGGAUGAAGGUUCUAUGGAUCGUAAACCUCUUUUAUAAGGGAAUAAAGUGCGGGACGUGUCCCGUUUUGUAUGUACCUUGUGAAUAAGGAUCGGCUAACUCCGUGCCAGCAGCCGCGGUAAUACGGAGGAUCCGAGCGUUAUCCGGAUUUAUUGGGUUUAAAGGGUUCGUAGGCGGCCUCUUAAGUCUGCGGGGAAAGUUUGUGGCUCAACCAUCGCAUUGCCGUUGAAACUGGGAGGCUUGAGUAUGUUUGAGGCAGGCGGAAUGCGUGGUGUAGCGGUGAAAUGCUUAGAUAUCACGCAGAACCCCGAUUGCGAAGGCAGCCUGCCAAGCCAUGACUGACGCUGAUGCACGAAAGCGUGGGGAUCAAACAGGAUUAGAUACCCUAGUAGUC